ACUUUAAGUCAACAACCUGAAAGCCGGACAGGAAACACAGCUGUAUGACUUCCGCUCAGACUGACGGUUCUGUCUGUCCGUUUAAGUGAUGCUCCUCCAUCAGCACCAACAACCCGCAGGACCACGUAAACACGACCAGAGCGGACCGCCGGCGGACACCCGCGGCCAUGCACGCGCGUGCCUUCCCAGGGUGACGUCAGCGCGCUCCUGUGAGGUAUAGCUGGUUGAUCAACAAGAGGACUGUCUGAGGAUAAAUCGAUCAUCAGCGACCAGCAGCUUCAGGACAAACAGCCUGAAGACGAACAAAGAGCGGCAGGUCUCCGUUCGGGAACAGGACGGAUCCUCGGAGUCCGGGUUUCCUCCUGCAUCGAAACCGCGAUCACAACAUAACGAUGCUGACAUCAACCGAGUUCCCCAGUUCGGGGUUCUUCUUCUUGACCCCGGAGCUGACUGCCAACGCAGCGCCGCGGCGUUUCACUGCCCCCUUCAGGCCGGAAGCGGUACUGCGUCUCCAUGACCAGCAGCUGCUCUUCCCGCCGCGCGGCAGUCAUGAACACCAGACGGAUGAUUUAAAAAGAAGGCUUCAUUUCUUUUUCUGCGAUUUAUCAUGUUAAAGGAGUUUUAAAAUAAACCAAUCAAGUAAGGA